rnacentral:rRNA from 1 species
GACGGAGGGGGCAAGCGUUGUCCGGACUCACUGGGCGUAAAGGGUGCGUAGGCGGUCUUGUGCGUCGGCGCUGAAAUCCCUCGGCUUAACCGAGGAACUGCCUGCCAGACUGGAAGGCUUGAGACCGGGAGAGGUGAGUGGAAUUCCCAGUGUAGCGGUGAAAUGCGUAGAUAUUGGGAGGAACACCAGUGGCGAAGGCGGCUCACUGGACCGGAACUGACGCUGAGGCGCGAAAGCGUGGGGAGCAAAUAGG